AUUGAACGCUGGCGGCAUGCCUUACACAUGCAAGUCGAACGGCAGCAUGAUCUAGCUUGCUAGAUUGAUGGCGAGUGGCGAACGGGUGAGUAAUACAUCGGAACGUGCCCUGUAGUGGGGGAUAACUAGUCGAAAGAUUAGCUAAUACCGCAUACAACCUGAGGGUGAAAGUGGGGGACCGCAAGGCCUCAUGCUAUAGGAGCGGCCGAUGUCUGAUUAGCUAGUUGGUGAGGUAAAGGCUCACCAAGGCGACGAUCAGUAGCUGGUCUGAGAGGACGAUCAGCCACACUGGGACUGAGACACGGCCCAGACUCCUACGGGAGGCAGCAGUGGGGAAUUUUGGACAAUGGGCGAAAGCCUGAUCCAGCAAUGCCGCGUGUGUGAAGAAGGCCUUCGGGUUGUAAAGCACUUUUGUCCGGAAAGAAAUGGCUCUGGUUAAUACCUGGGGUCGAUGACGGUACCGGAAGAAUAAGGACCGGCUAACUACGUG
rnacentral:rRNA from 1 species